AAGUAAUUAGGAGAAAAAAGACAAGUUUGUUUAGCCUGUAAUAGGUGGUUAUACCACAAACAAAUGGGGGAGGGUAAAAAAAAAAAAUUUAAAAAAGUCAAAAACAUUUUUCUCUCCAUAUAUCCUACACAAAAAAUAGGUGAUCCUUGUGAAAAGAAGGUAAAAAAAACACCCAAAUAAUUAAUUCUCCUUGACCCUCCAAGAGCAUACCAACCACCUUCCUUUUCAACUAGCCACAAGCAACCCCCACGACCAAAUGCCAUUAAAGUCAGCAGCGCCAUCGUCCUCAGCCCUGCUCCAUCAUAACCCAAUAAUGCACCGCCAACCAGCGACCUCCUCUCAGCCUAGUAGCUCCAACAGCCACAAACGACAGCAACAUGGCUAGCCACCAUGAGCAACAACAGAUCCCACCAACGCUUCUCGACCCAGCUCUAUCGUUACCCAACCACGCACCUCUAACCAGCAACCUCCUCCCAACAAUAUUGUCUCAUCCUCCUAGCAACGGCAUCCUUCAUAGCGUGACCAUGCUGAAAAUCCAACGACUGGAACCAUUACCACCAAAUUUGUCUUAGCCACUCGCCUCUAUACCGAAACCAUCAAGCCACCAACAACCCCUAUCAAGCAGCAACCUUCCACAUAGCCAACAACCCAAGGUGACCACCGCAAUACAACACCACCUUCACAACGACCCAUAACAAUUCGUCAUAGUAGGGGACAGUGGACAAAAAACCAGUAAGGAAAGAGAAAAUAACAUAUCUAAUGAAGAAGAAGAGAAAGGAAGACUGAACCUUCAAUCAAGCAUAUAUCCUCCCUCGUAUGUUCAUUUGUCUCACCACUAAUAUAGGAACAGAGAGGGGCAGAGGAGUACAAGAUCCACCAUCCCACGCUCCUUCAGUAGCGGUGACGCGUGAAUCCACACACCAACAGUGGUGGGGGCUUGUGGUACACGUUCCACCAUUGUUCCACGACUCCUUCAGCCUUGAUUCCAGUAGCUCCUAGACAUGUUAUGUUAAGCAUUUUGAAAGGUCGAUUAAUAAACUUAGAAUAUUUUUUGGACUAAUUGCUAAAAUUGUGAAAUUUUGGAGCCAAAUGCUUAUCAUUUGUAUAAUAUUUG
rnacentral:lncRNA from 1 species